CUCAAAGGAAUUGACGGGGGCCCGCACAAGCGGUGGAGCAUGUGGUUUAAUUCGAAGCAACGCGAAGAACCUUACCAGGUCUUGACAUCCUUUGACCACUCUAGAGAUAGAGCUUCCCCUUCGGGGGCAAAGUGACAGGUGGUGCAUGGUUGUCGUCAGCUCGUGUCGUGAGAUGUUGGGUUAAGUCCCGCAACGAGCGCAACCCUUAUUGUUAGUUGCCAUCAUUUAGUUGGGCACUCUAGCGAGACUGCCGGUGACAAACCGGAGGAAGGUGGGGAUGACGUCAAAUCAUCAUGCCCCUUAUGACCUGGGCUACACACGUGCUACAAUGGGAAGUACAACGAGUUGCGAAGUCGCGAGGCUAAGCUAAUCUCUUAAAGCUUCUCUCAGUUCGGAUUGUAGGCUGCAACUCGCCUACAUGAAGCCGGAAUCGCUAGUAAUCGCGGAUCAGCACGCCGCGGUGAAUACGUUCCCGGGCCUUGUACACACCGCCCGUCACACCACGAGAGUUUGUAACACCCGAAGUCGGUGAGGUAACCUUUUUGGAGCCAGCCGCCUAAGGUGG
rnacentral:rRNA from 1 species